GAUGAACGCUGGCGGCGUGCCUAAUACAUGCAAGUCGAGCGAAUGACGAGGAGCUUGCUCCUCUGAUUUAGCGGCGGACGGGUGAGUAACACGUGGGUAACCUGCCUGUAAGACGGGGAUAACUCCGGGAAACCGGAGCUAAUACCGGAUGAUAACGAGAAGCGCCUGCUUCUUUUUUGAAAGUCGGUUUCGGCUGACGCUUACAGAUGGGCCCGCGGCGCAUUAGCUAGUUGGUGAGGUAACGGCUCACCAAGGCGACGAUGCGUAGCCGACCUGAGAGGGUGAUCGGCCACACUGGGACUGAGACACGGCCCAGACUCCUACGGGAGUCAGCAGUAGGGAAUCUUCGGCAAUGGACGAAAGUCUGACCGAGCAACGCCGCGUGAGCGAUGAAGGCCUUCGGGUCGUAAAGCUCUGUUGUCAGAGAAGAACAAGUACCGGAGUAACUGCCGGUACCUUGACGGUACCUGACCAGAAAGCCACGGCUAACUACGUGCCAGCAGCCGCAGUAAAAC
rnacentral:rRNA from 1 species